UACGUAGGGGGCAAGCGUUGUCCGGAAUCCAUUGGGCGUAAAGCGCGUGUAGGCGGCUUGGUAAGUCUGCUCUGAAAGCCCGGGGCUCAACCCCGGGAGGCGGGUGGAUACUGUCAAGCUCGAGUCCGGAAGAGGAGUGUGGAAUUCCUGGUGUAGCGGUGAAAUGCGCAGAUAUCAGGAGGAACACCAAUGGCGAAGGCGCACUCUGG
rnacentral:rRNA from 1 species